GAACUGAAACAUCUAAGUACCUGGAGGAAGAGAAAGAAAAAUCGAUUUCCUGAGUAGCGGCGAGCGAAACGGAAAGAGCCCAAACCAAGAAGCUUGCUUCUUGGGGUUGUAGGACACUCUAUACGGAGUUACAAAAGAAAGUUAUAAAUGAAGCGGUCUGGAAAGGCCCGCCAAAGACGGUAACAGCCCGGUAGUUGAAAUGGCUUUCCCUCCAGAGUGGAUCCUGAGUACGGCGGAACACGUGAAAUUCCGUCGGAAUCCGGGAGGACCAUCUCCCAAGGCUAAAUACUCCCUAGUGACCGAUAGUGAACCAGUACCGUGAGGGAAAGGUGAAAAGCACCCCGGAAGGGGAGUGAAACAGUUCCUGAAACCGUGUGCCUACAAGUAGUUAGAGCCCGUUAAUGGGUGAUAGCGUGCCUUUUGUAGAAUGAACCGGCGAGUUACGAUUUGUUGCAAGGUUAAGCGGAAAAAGCGGAGCCGUAGCGAAAGCGAGUCUGAAUAGGGCGCAUAAGUAACAGGUCGUAGACCCGAAACCAGGUGAUCUACCCAUGUCCAGGAUGAAGGUAAGGUAAUACUUACUGGAGGUCCGAACCCACGCACGUUGAAAAGUGCGGGGAUGAGGUGUGGGUAGCGGAGAAAUUCCAAUCGAACUUGGAGAUAGCUGGUUCUCUCCGAAAUAGCUUUAGGGCUAGCCUCGAGGUAAAGAGUCAUGGAGGUAGAGCACUGUUUGGACUAGGGGCCCUUCUCGGGUUACCGAAUUCAGAUAAACUCCGAAUGCCAUGUACUUAUACUCGGGAGUCAGACUGCGAGUGAUAAGAUCCGUAGUCGAAAGGGAAACAGCCCAGACCACCAGUUAAGGUCCCCAAAUAUAUGUUAAGUGGAAAAGGAUGUGGGGUUGCUUAGACAACCAGGAUGUUGGCUUAGAAGCAGCCACCAUUGAAAGAGUGCGUAAUAGCUCACUGGUCGAGUGACCCCGCGCCGAAAAUGUACCGGGGCUAAACAUAUUACCGAAACUGUGGAUGAACCUCUUUAGAGGUUCGUGGUAGGAGAGCGUUCUAAGGGCGGUGAAGUCAGACCGGAAGGACUGGUGGAGCGCUUAGAAGUGAGAAUGCCGGUAUGAGUAGCGAAAGAAGGGUGAGAAUCCCUUCCACCGAAUAUCUAAGGUUUCCUGAGGAAGGCUCGUCCGCUCAGGGUUAGUCGGGACCUAAGCCGAGGCCGAUAGGCGUAGGCGAUGGACAACAGGUAGAGAUUCCUGUACCAGUGCUAAUUGUUUAACCGAUGGGGUGACACAGAAGGAUAGGGAAUCGCACGAAUGGAAAUGUGCGUCCAAGCAGUGAGUGUGAG
rnacentral:rRNA from 1 species